rnacentral:rRNA from 1 species
AUGUCCUCUUAUCUGCUGAAACUACCGAAGCUCAAGGUUUUUUUUUUUGAGGGCGGAGAUGAUUAUGCAGAAGUCAUCUAUAGGGAUGAUGAGGAGGAGGUGGAUAGUACAGGGAUGCCAGGGAGUGGCAUUGGAGAAACAAUGGAAGGUGAUGAACUGCUCGAGCCACGUAGAAGUGCGAGACUAAGACAACUUUAUGAAGAAGGAGAAUUCGAUUCUGAAGAAGAGGAGUUUGAUGAUGAGGAGGAGAUGCAUUGA